rnacentral:tRNA from 1 species
GCGCCCGUAGCCCAACGGACAGAGCGCCGCACUACGGAUGCGGAGGUUGGGGGUUCGAGUCCCUCCGGGCGCA